rnacentral:rRNA from 1 species
CAGCCGCCGCGGUAAUACGUAGGGUGCGAGCGUUAAUCGGAAUUACUGGGCGUAAAGCGUGCGCAGGCGGUUAUAUAAGACAGAUGUGAAAUCCCCGGGCUCAACCUGGGACCUGCAUUUGUGACUGUAUAGCUAGAGUACGGUAGAGGGGGAUGGAAUUCCGCGUGUAGCAGUGAAAUGCGCAGAUAUGCGGAGGAACACCGAUGGCGAAGGCAAUCCCCUGGACCUGUACUGACGCUCAUGCACGAAAGCGUGGGGAGCAAACAGGAUUAGAUACCCCCGUAGUCCCUGUCUCUUAUAC